UGGGGAAUAUUGGACAAUGGGGGCAACCCUGAUCCAGCAAUGCCGCGUGUGUGAAGAAGGUCUUCGGAUUGUAAAGCACUUUCGACGGGGACGAUGAUGACGGUACCCGUAGAAGAAGCCCCGGCUAACUUCGUGCCAGCAGCCGCGGUAAUACGAAGGGGGCUAGCGUUGCUCGGAAUGACUGGGCGUAAAGGGCGUGUAGGCGGUUUACACAGUCAGAUGUGAAAA
rnacentral:rRNA from 1 species